AACUUCUGAACGUUGACCUCGAAUCAGGUAGGAAUACCCGCUGAACUUAAGCAUAUCAAUAAGCGGAGGAAAAGAAACCAACAGGGAUUGCCCCAGUAACGGCGAGUGAAGCGGCAACAGCUCAAAUUUGAAAUCUGGCUCUCGGGCCCGAGUUGUAAUUUGUAGAGGAUGCUUUUGGUGAGGUGCCUUCCGAGUUCCCUGGAACGGGACGCCACAGAGGGUGAGAGCCCCGUCUGGUUGGACACCGAACCUCUGUAAAGCUCCUUCGACGAGUCGAGUAGUUUGGGAAUGCUGCUCUAAAUGGGAGGUAUAUGUCUUCUAAAGCUAAAUACCGGCCAGAGACCGAUAGCGCACAAGUAGAGUGAUCGAAAGAUGAAAAGAACUUUGAAAAGAGAGUUAAAAAGUACGUGAAAUUGUUGAAAGGGAAGCGCUUGUGACCAGACUUGGGCUCGGUUGAUCAUCCAGGGUUCUCCCUGGUGCACUCUUCCGGCCCAGGCCAGCAUCAGUUCGCCCCGGGGGAAAAAGGCUUCGGGAAUGUGGCUCUCUCCGGGGAGUGUUA
rnacentral:rRNA from 2 species